UUUGAUCCUGGCUCAGGACGAACGCUGGCGGCGUGCUUAAUACAUGCAAGUCAUAGGGGCUAAUUUCCUUCGGGAGAUUGGUCACUGGCGCACGGGUGCGUAACACGUAAGUUAUCUGCCCUUGGGUCUGGCAUAACGUCGGGAAACCGGCGCUAAUUCCAGAUGAUAUCGUAAGAUCAAAGCCUUCGGGCGCCCAAGGAUGAGCUUGCGUCUGAUUAGCUUGUUGGCGGGGUAAUGGCCCACCAAGGCAACGAUCAGUAGCCGGUCUGAGAGGAUGAUCGGCCACAUUGGGACUGAGACACGGCCCAGACUCCUACGGGAGGCAGCAGUAAGGAAUAUUGCGCAAUGGACGAAAGUCUGACGCAGCAACGCCGCGUGCAGGAUGAAGGCCCUUUGGGUUGUAAACUGCUGUAGAAAGGGAAUAAUAGUUUGCCACGGGUGAACUUGAAGGUACCUUUAAAGUAAGCGCCGGCUAACUACGUG
rnacentral:rRNA from 1 species